UACGUAGGGUGCGAGCGUUGCCCGGAUUUAUUGGGCGUAAAGGGCGCGUAGGCGGCCACGCCCGUCCGUUGUGAAAUCGCCCGGCUCAACUGGGCGGGGUCAGCGGAUACGGUGUGGCUCGAGCAAGCUAGGGGGCAAUGGAAUUCCCGGUGUAGUGGUGGAAUGCGUAGAUAUCGGGAGGAACACCAGUGGCGAAGGCGGUUGCCUGGAGCUUUGCUGACGCUGAGGCGCGAAAGCGUGGGGAGCGAUCCGG
rnacentral:rRNA from 1 species